AACAUUGGACAAUGUGGGCAACCCUGAUCGUGAUAUGCCGCGUGUGUGAAGAAGUUCUUCGGAUUGUUAUGCACUUUAAGUUGGGAGGAAGGGCUUUAGGUUAGUACUCUGAAGUUUUUACGCUACUAACUGAAUACGCACGGCUUAACUCUGUGCCAGCAGCCGCGGUAAUACAGAGGGUGCAAGCGUUAAUCGGAAUUACUGGGCGUAAAGCGCGCGUAGGUGGUUCAGUAAGAUGGGUGUGAAAUCCCCGGGCUUAACCUGGGAACUGCUUUCAUAACUGCUGAGCUAGAGUACGGUAGAGGGUAGUGGAAUUUCCUGUGUAGCGGUGAAAUGCGUAGAUAUAGGAAGGAACACCAGUGGCGAAGGCGACUACCUGGACUGAUACUGACACUGAGGUGCGAAAGCGUGGGGAGCAAACA
rnacentral:rRNA from 1 species